UUAAGUGACUAAGCGUAUACGGUGGAUGCCUUGGCAGUCAGAGGCGAUGAAGGACGUGCUAAUCUGCGAAAAUCGUCGGUGAGCUGAUAUGAAGCGUUAUCAGCCGGCGGUAUCCGAAUGGGGAAACCUGAUGCAAUUUGUUGCAUCAUCGUCACGUGAAUUCAUAGCUUGACGAAGCGAACCAGGGGAACUGAAACAUCUAAAUACCCUGAGGAAAAGAAAUCAACCGAGAUUCCCUUAGUAGCGGCGAGCGAACGGGGAGUAGCCCAGAGCCACCAUCAACUUGUGCAUCAGAAGAACGGUCUGGAAAGUCCGGCAACAAAGGGUGAUAGCCCCGUAUUUGAAGAUGUGCCUGUUGUGAGCUCGAUGAGUAGGACGGGACACGUGAUAUCUUGUCUGAAGAUGGGGGGACCAUCCUCCAAGGCUAAAUACUCCUGACUGACCGAUAGUGAACCAGUACCGUGAGGGAAAGGCGAAAAGAACCCCGGCGAGGGGAGUGAAACAGAACCUGAAACCGUGUACGUACAAGCAAUAGGAGCACCUUCGGGUGUGACUGUGUACCUUUUGUAUAAUGGGUCAGCGACUUAUAUUCUGUAGCAAGGUUAACCGUAGUAGGGGAGCCGCAGGGAAACCGAGUCUUAACUGGGCGUUGAGUUGCAGGGUGUAGACCCGAAACCCGGUGAUCUAGCCAUGAGCAGGUUGAAAGUUCGAUAACACUAACUGGAGGACCGAACCAACUAAUGUUGAAAAAUUAGUGGAUGACUUGUGGCUAGGGGUGAAAGGCCAAUCAAACCGGGAGAUAGCUGGUUCUCCCCGAAAGCUAUUUAGGUAGCGCCUCGUGAAUUUAUCUUCGGGGGUAGAGCACUGUUUCGACUAGGGGUCCAUCCCGGAUUACCAAUCCGAUGCAAACUACGAAUACCGAAGAAUAUUAUCACGGGAGACACACGGCGGGUGCUAACGUUCGUCGUGAAAAGGGAAACAACCCAGACCGCCAGCUAAGGUCCCCAAGUUAUGGUUAAGUGGGAAACGAUGUAGGAAGGCCCAGACAGCCAGGAUGUUGGCUUAGAAGCAGCCACCAUUUAAAGAAAGCGUAAUAGCUCACUGGUCGAGUCGUGCCUGCGCGGAAAAUUUAACGGGGCUAAACCAUACACCGAAGCUGCGGCAACGGAUAUACCUUUAAGUGAUAUAUCCGUUGGGUAGGGGAGCGUUCUGUAAACCUGUGAAGAUGUGCUGUGAGGCACAUUGGAGGUAUCAGAAGUGCGAAUGCUGACAUGAAUAACGAUAAAGCGGGUGAAAAGCCCGCUCGCCGGAAGACCAAGGGUUCCUGUCCAACGUUAAUCGGGGCAGGGUGAGUCGACGCCUAAGGCGAGGUCGAAAGGCGUAGUCGAUGGAGAACAGGUUAAUAUUCCUGUACUGGGUGUGACUGCGAAGGGGGGACGGAGAAAGUUAGGUUCGCCGGGCGACGGUUGUCCCGGUUCAAGCGUGAAGGUGGAAAAGCAGGUAAAUCCGCUUUUUUUUAACACUGAGGCGUGAUAACGAGCCAUUAAGGUGGUGAAGGAAUUGAUACUAUACUUCCAGGAAAAGCCUCUAAGCUCUAGGUCACAUCGAAUCGUACCCCAAACCGACACAGGUGGUCAGGUAGAGAAUACUGAGGCGCUUGAGAGAACUCGGGUGAAGGAACUAGGCAAAAUGGUGCCGUAACUUCGGGAGAAGGCACGCUAACAUGUAGGUGAAGGGACGACAUGCUCCCAGAGCUGAAGUUAGUCGCAGAUACCAGCUGGCUGCAACUGUUUAUUAAAAACACAGCACUGUGCAAACACAAAAGUGGACGUAUACGGUGUGACGCCUGCCCGGUGCCGGAAGGUUAAUUGAUAGGGUUAUCGCGAAGCGAGAGGCUCUUGAUCGAAGCCCCGGUAAACGGCGGCCGUAACUAUAACGGUCCUAAGGUAGCGAAAUUCCUUGUCGGGUAAGUUCCGACCUGCACGAAUGGCGUAAUGAUGGCCAGGCUGUCUCCACCCGAGACUCAGUGAAAUUGAAUUCGCCGUGAAGAUGCGGCGUACCCGCGGCAAGACGGAAAGACCCCGUGAACCUUUACUAUAGCUUGGCACUGAACAUUGAGCCUUGAUGUGUAGGAUAGGUGGGAGGCUUUGAAAUGCAGACGUCAGUUUGCAUGGAGCCAUUCUUGAAAUACCACCCUUUAAUGUUUGAUAUUCUAACUCUAACCCGUCAUCCGGGUUGAGGACAGUGUCUGGUGGGUAGUUUGACUGGGGCGGUCUCCUCCCAAAGGGUAACGGAGGAGUGCAAAGGUUAGCUAAUCACGGUCGGACAUCGUGAGGUUAGUGCAAAGGCAUAAGCUAGCUUAACUGCGAGAGUGACGGCUCGAGCAGGUGCGAAAGCAGGUCUUAGUGAUCCGGUGGUUCUGAAUGGAAGGGCCAUCGCUCAACGGAUAAAAGGUACUCCGGGGAUAACAGGCUGAUACCGCCCAAGAGUUCAUAUCGACGGCGGUGUUUGGCACCUCGAUGUCGGCUCAUCACAUCCUGGGGCUGAAGUAGGUCCCAAGGGUAUGGCUGUUCGCCAUUUAAAGUGGUACGCGAGCUGGGUUUAGAACGUCGUGAGACAGUUCGGUCCCUAUCUGCCGUGGGCGCUGGAGGAUUGAGAGGGGCUGCUCCUAGUACGAGAGGACCGGAGUGGACGCACCACUGGUGUUCGGGUUGUCAUGCCAAUGGCAUUGCCCGGUAGCUACGUGCGGAAGAGAUAACCGCUGAAAGCAUCUAAGCGGGAAACUUGCCUCGAGAUGAGUCUUCCCUGAGACCUUGAGUUUCCUAAAGGGACGUUAAAGACGAUGACGUUGAUAGGUCGGGUGUGUAAGCGCUGUGAGGCGUUGAGCUAACCGAUACUAAUGACCCGUGAGGCUUAACCU
rnacentral:rRNA from 1 species